UACGUAGGUGGCAAGCGUUGUCCGGAAUUAUUGGGCGUAAAGCGCGCGCAGGCGGUUAUGUAAGUAUGAUGUUAAAGCCCGGGGCUCAACCUCGGUUCGCAUUGGAAACUGCGUAACUUGAGUGCAGAAGAGGAAAGUGGUAUUCCACGUGUAGCGGUGAAAUGCGUAGAUAUGUGGAGGAACGCCAGUGGCGAAGGCGACUUUCUGGACUGUAACUGACGCUGAGGCGCGCAAGCGUGGGGAGCAAACAGG
rnacentral:rRNA from 1 species